rnacentral:rRNA from 1 species
CCCGCCGGCGACCGGCGCACGGGUGAGUAACACGUAUGAAACCUGCCCGUAGCGAGGGGAUAAGCGGAAGAAAUUCCGUCUAAUACCGCGUAACAACCCGAGGAGGCAUCUCCUCGGGUUUAAAGGAAGCGAUUCCGGCUACGGAUGGUCAUGCGUCGCAUUAGCUAGUUGGCGGGGUAACGGCCCACCAAGGCGACGAUGCGUAGGGGUUCUGAGAGGAAGGUCCCCCACACUGGUACUGAGACACGGACCAGACUCCUACGGGAGGCAGCAG